GCUUUCUGAAGAGGAGCCUCCGAUCUCCCGGGGUUCACAGGAGUAGCUUCCUUCUCUCGGUGCUCCUUGCCCUCAGUUCAGGCGGGGCUGGCUUGGCCUGGAAGGGUGAUCCAGUCCUCUCCGCCACCUUGCUGCAGUGGAGGUGCAAGGAUCCCGGAAGGGCCCUUUCAUUCUGCCUUUAACUGGCCUGCAGGAGCCCCUCCUUUCCAACACGUAAGGAGCAUUCGGUCUCCACGGCAGACACGGGGUCCCCCGGCCGGAGCUGGCAGGACUGUGUCCCAUCCAGUUGGACAGCCGGCGUGUGUAUGCUCCGGACUCAUAAGAUCCCAAUUGCUGGACCCAGAAAAGGCCAUAUCCAGCAAUUGGGUCAUAGGGGCCUGGGGCCCCUCUGAAAUUUUUGUGACUUGCACCGAAUGUCUGGGGCUGAGAGACUAAUGUGGUUCUGUCUCAUCAUGCCUGACCUUCCUUGGAAGCUGGAUCUAGCUACAGAAACCAAACCGUUUACUUAGCCAAGAAUGUGAAGAAUGCCUCUGUCCCAAGUAUUUCCAGUUCUCACUGAAGCCACUGAGUACUCAGCACGGUUGCAAGCCACAGCCUUGUCCUGGUCCUCUCGACCUCCCUCCCAGGGCCACCUCUCCCUCUCCCGCCUGGAGAGCCCUUCCCAGGGGAGACAGAGGAGCAGAUCCAGAGACCAGAAGGCCCAGUGCCCUGACAUCAAGGCCGCAGGGCGAUGGAGGGCCCUCCCUGUCCCCAGAGGGAGUAAGCAAGGGAGAGACAGCAAGGGUUCACUUGAACUUCCUCUGCCCCCUAAGCCUGUUUCCCACCAGCAGCUGCUGCUCUCCCUCCUCUCCUACCUCCUCCUCCCCACCACUUAGGUCAGGCCCGCCUUGAACUCACUAUGUAGCCAGGCUUGCCUGGAACUCCCAGUGAUCCUCCUGCCUCGGCCUCCUGCAUGCUGGGAUCACAGGCUCGCUCCACCACACCUGGCUAACUUUCAGUGGAUUUAUUGGGAUGUGGCCCCAUUGUAAGUCCGGGAGCUCCUGACUCCCUUGGCAGUGGGGCAGAGAGACACAGAUGGCUAUUGGCAGGGUCACCAGCCAGCCUGCUUGUUUCCGGUCCUCCCUCUCACAAUCCAUCUCCACAAGGAAGCAGAGGGAUCUGCUCAACAUUCCCAGGAGGAAAGACGGGGCGGGGCCUGGGCCACCAUGGAGGAGCCCCUCCCCUCUGGCCCCAGCCUCUUCGUGAGCCACCCCGAGUGUCCCGAGUAACUGUGCCAUCAUCAUGUGAUCACGUGGGUGUGCAUGGAGACCCCAGUAAACCUUUGGUCCUGCCUG